GUAAGUGUAGUGUAUUGGUAGCACGACUGUUUGUGGCACAGUAAGAGCAAGUUCGAACCUUGUCAUUUACC
rnacentral:tRNA from 1 species